rnacentral:rRNA from 1 species
UACGGAGGGUGCGAGCGUUGUCCGGAUUUACUGGGCGUAAAGGAUGCGUAGGCGGACAUUUAAGUCAGAUGUGAAAUACCCGAGCUUAACUUGGGUGCUGCAUUUGAAACUGGGUGUCUAGAGUGCAGGAGAGGUAAGUGGAAUUCCUAGUGUAGCGGUGAAAUGCGUAGAGAUUAGGAAGAACACCAGUGGCGAAGGCGACUUACUGGACUGUAACUGACGCUGAGGCAUGAAAGCGUGGGGAGCAAACAGG